CCACUAUGCUUAGCCUUAAACAUAAAUAAUUUAUUAAACAAAAUUAUUCGCCAGAGAACUACUAGCAACAGCUUAAAACUCAAAGGACUUGGCGGUGCUUUAACCCCCCU
rnacentral:rRNA from 1 species